CUGGCCGUAAACGAUGGGUACUAGGUGUGGGGGGUUCGACCCCCUCCGUGCCGCAGUUAACGCAUUAAGUACCCCGCCUGGGGAGUACGGCCGCAAGGUUGAAACUCAAAGGAAUUGACG
rnacentral:rRNA from 1 species